UGGGGAAUAUUGCACAAUGGGGGAAACCCUGAUGCAGCGACGCCGCGUGAGCGAAGAAGUAUUUCGGUAUGUAAAGCUCUAUCAGCAGGGAAGAAAAAUGACGGUACCUGAGUAAGAAGCACCGGCUAAAUACGUGCCAGCAGCCGCGGUAAUACGUAUGGUGCAAGCGUUAUCCGGAUUUACUGGGUGUAAAGGGAGCGCAGGCGGUGCGGCAAGUCUGAUGUGAAAGCCCGGGGCUCAACCCCGGGACUGCAUUGGAAACUACCGAACUAGAGUGUCGGAGAGGUAAGUGGAAUUCCUAGU
rnacentral:rRNA from 1 species